CGGGAUAUUAAAGAUGGAUAUUCCUGCAUUAUUUGCGUCAUUGUUUCUGUGACAAAAAGCACAGAGUUCAUACAUAGUUAAGACGUCUUUUUUCUGACGCCCUCACGUUGAGAAGCUGAAAAGGUAUUUUACUGAAGUUCGGCUAAAUUACAGAAUCAGGUUCACCCAGAGGACAAAUUUUCUGUUCGAUUAGCUGUAUUUCAGCCUGGAGGACUGACCUCUAAACCCUUAACCUUUUGGACUCUAACUACCCUCUUCUCUUUUUCUCCUCCCGGUAACAUGGAGGCAGUCUUUGGAUAUAGCAUUUGAAAAGAGGCGCUAUCCUUAGGCCAAUUGGAAAAUUGUUACUACUCUUUCUUAAAAGCCACAUCUGAGCAAACAUUGAACUGAAUCCUUGUGUCCUAGCUUGUAUAUUUUCACAAUACUCAACUAUAUAGCCAGUAUGGAGGUUAUCAUAUAGAUUUUUCCCUCUCCUCAGAAGUUCUGGUUACUCAUCCAGCUUCAGACCAAAUACUACCCCUCCUUCCUCCUCCCCCAAAGAAAAGCCAAAAGACAAGAGUGUGCUUUCCUGAAGAAAACCCCAGUUUCUCCUCAAACAUAGCCCCACUACUUUGGAAACUAACUAGAGCUGAGAAACAACUUCUUUGUUUAUAAAUCUCAGCUCUUCCUCCCAGCUGGGAGGGGUUGUCUUUUUAAAUGCUAAUGACGCCUGCCGGCCCAUUGAGCAGUUACUAGUCCUAAAGUCUUAUUCUGGUCCUAAAACCCAUUUGGGCCCAAAGGAGUGGACCAGGAAAGAGGUGGCCCCUGCCCCCACCCUAGUCACCUAGAGCAGGAAGGUCUCCAUCUGGGAACGUGCUCUAGAGAAAGCAAGCUGUGGAAAGGUUCCAGUGCCCAUUUGUUCUUAUUUAUUUCCAGUUUGUUCUCCCCAAAUAUGAGCCAGGAGCAUUUGUUUGGGUGUUUCAGAGCCUGUGUUGGGGUCAUGCCUGGGGUUGAGGAGUGGAAUGUUUGCUGAGGACAGUCAGUGUGCCUCUGACUCCCAUCUCACUUGUCCAUUUACAGCCUUUUGUUGUGAGAUGAGAUUGUCAGUCAGCCCCUUGGAGUCUGCUCACAAAAGACACUUUUUAAAAUAGGACUGACCAUGUUUUCGCUGCCACUGAUUAAAGUAUUAUUUAUACUAAUUGUUGCCUGUAGUUUUGAUGUAAUUCAUUGAUCUAUAUUUGAAAUAAUAAAAGGUGUAGUAAAAUCUC
rnacentral:lncRNA from 1 species